CUACAGACUGUAAGUCAUCACAAUAAAUGCCCUCAUUCUAGAGAGACAGUUCAUAAGUUCUGUGACUCUAGAGAACCCUGACUAAUAAAAGCAGUGUAAGCGUGUUUGUGGUCAGCUGACUUAGAAUUACAUCCGGGAGUAGGACAGCUGGAUCAAUGGUAACUGGACUCAAUUAUACCCUCAUCUGCAGUGUAUAAGGGUUCCUUUCUCCCUGUAUCAACACCGUGUGCAGGAGAUACUUUUAGAAGCAAUGAAAACCAAGGAGUCAACCCACUCUAAGGAGGAACAAAAGAGAAAGGCAUUUUUAGAUGCUCAGAAUGUUUGCAGCCAAGGUUUAGCUCCUUCGCUAUUAGCUUAGGAUGCUGUUCGCUUUAACCUUGAUUUCUAUCUUCCUAAUCUGUCAUACACAUGGCGGGGGAGGGGCAUCUUUCAAGACUUUUUUCUGAUGACACUUGAAACGUAUUUCUUUUUUUCUUAAAUAUUAUUUUUAUGCGCAUGUACCUGCAUGAAUUUAUGGGCACCGCGUGUAUGUGGGAGGUACCCACGGAGGGAGGCAAGAAGAAGGAGUUAGGUUCUCUGGAACUACCCUGAGCCAUCAUGUAGGCAAUGGAGACCCAAGGUGGGUCCUCUACAAGAGCAGUGGGUGCUUUUAACCACUGUGCCAUCCCUCCAGCCCCAUCCUUUGCAUGCACUUCCACUGCAUUGCUUAACCCAUGGUGAUGUCGGCUCACAGGUAAAGGAGCUUGCUACCCAGCCUGAUCCCUGGAGCCCACGUGGCGGAAGGUGAGAACUGACCACAGCUGCGUCGUCACAUGGUGCAGAUUCUAGGAGACCCUCUUCCCUGCUGUAGGUACCCAAAUCUGCCGGUACUUAUUCAAAAUGAUGCAGCGUUUGCUUAGAACCUGUUAUACACACCUGCCUAUGUGCUUUAAACAAGCUCUGGACCACUUGCCAUACCUGACACAAAGUAAAGGCCAUGGGAAUAACUGUUAUGCUGUACUGCUUAGGGAAUCCCUGGAGAGAAAAUGUGUGACGUGUUCAGUAAAGGCACAUGUUCCCAACCCUUAUUCUUUUAAUUUUUAAUUCCCAUGCUUCCGUGUGUGUGUGUGUGUGUGUGUGUGUGUGUGUGUGUGUGUGUGUUUUCAUGUGUGCAUGUGUGGAUGUCUGAAGAUAACUGUUUGGAGUUUGUUCUCUGUUUUUUACCAAGUGGGUCCCAGGGAUCAAACACAGGUUGCCAGUCUUUAUCCAUUGAGCCAGAUCUCAAAUAUUUUUGAUACAAGAUUUUGUUGAAUCUGUGGCUUUAGAACCUUUAGAUAUGGAGGGCAGACUGUGUGUUGACUGGUUAACUUUUCUUCAUCACUAAUGUUUAGCACAGCAUGCUUGACACAUAGUAGGGCCACAUGUGAUGCUUACUGCAAAACUAGUGUGGCUCAGUAAGGUCUGGAAAAAGAAAGAAGAGAUUCUCUGAGGUAAACUGUGUACCGUGCCACCUUCCUAGAGGACGUCUUUGGACAGAAUUAGCCACCUGCAUUUCUCUAUUCUCCAAAGGUUGGAUUUGCUUCCCCCAAUUUCUGGGAGACUGGAAAGUGAAUCAGGACUGAUUUUCCUGGUGGGCAUACUUACAUAUGUAAGCCAGCACCUGGCUGCUUCUUUGAGAGCUAUAUAAGGUCAGCAGAAGUCAUCUGUCUAGCUGACAGACAUGCUCAGAGGACCUGGGAACCCAUCAGAUCAACUCCCAUUGCCCUGGUAGAACGUGUCAGCUACAUGGCCAGGCUCCUAGAAGUAUCCCCCUAUUCCAAUUCUAAUCAUCGCUGAGACUGCACAUUGAUGUCUUUACUCAGAAGUCAACAUAAGUCACCUUGGAAGCAAAUGGAGAAUUUGCACACCCAGGUUUCCCAGCAGCUACUUCUCUAAGACAAAAGUUUGCUUCCACAAGUUUCUACCAAAGCAUGGGUAUAGAAACUGUCAUUGAACUUUGGUGGUUAUCAGUAAGUCCUUAACAGUUUCCUUACAGUUUUUCUUCCCAAGGUAAUUUCUUUCUUUGAAGAAAAUGAUAGCACUCUUAGGACAAGGGCUAGUUUAGAAUAACUUAUUCAUGAUGUCUGUUACAUUUCAACUAAAAAGCAAAAUAAAACCCAAGUCAUUUUGUAACCUACUAUGUGCCCUUUAAGGAAAAGAGUCCCUGAGUCUCUCUACAAAAUAAAAUGAUCUUAUUUUGAGUCACAAUAGUCUAGGUCGUUUGCACUGACUAUGCCUCCUUCUGUGCCUAUGUGCCGAUGCUCAAGAGUAAAGUUAUCUAUGAUUUGUCUCCUAAAACUGUGGAAGACUAGAGCUAAGAGAGGAACUUCUGCUGUAAGACAGAAGCUUCUCGAAUCAUUUGAUGGACUUUUGUUUAAUUUCUCUUCUUGAGAAGAAGGCUGGUCAUAUCUCAGCUGCACCUAGGAAGGGGGCGGAGGGAGAUGGAGAUGGGGAGGGGAAGAACGAGGGGGGAGAAGGAGCAGGAAGCAGGGUGAGGCAUUACCCCCUCAAAGCCCAUCCACAGGGAUGUACUUCCUCCAUCAAGACUGCACUACCUAAAGGUUCUAUAACUUCCUCAAAAGGCAACAUCAGUGGGGACCAAGUGUUCAGGUACAAGAGCCUCUGGGAGAUGUUUCUCGUUCAAACCACCACAGCACUCAAAUUGCUUAGGAAACCCAGGGUCCAGUCUUAGCCCAAAGGUCUGUGAUCAAUGAAAACGGCAUGGCUUGUUUCUGUGUGUGUGAGCCAGGCCCUUUCCUAUUACAGCACGCUCAGCACACAGCUUUCGCAAGGUGGCUCACACACAGCCCCUCAUGCCUGAAGCAUUAAAUGCCUAAAUAACUCGGCAGUGAAGGAGUGAGUUUGCCUCUUGGCCUCCGUCCAAGCUGUUGAUUUGUGCACAAAUUUGGAGACAGCUUUUCUGGAAGGCAUCGCUUCCGUCCACGGGGGAGCAGUUUCUGACUCUGCCAUGCUCUCUGCUCGGAGUCAAAUGCAUUACACACCCAGUGCGGGGUCCUCACUAAAUGUCUUUCCGUGUUUUCAAUAUUCAGACAGACAUGUUCAUGCUCUGGAGAAACUUCUCCAUCAAGGACCCUCUUUCAUCCCCAGGCUACCCCUCUUCCUCUCAACAGCAUGCAUUUUCCGGUUAAGCUAAUUCUGUGACACAUGAACAAAAAGAUGACUCUGAUUGGAGCUGGCACAUGGACUGUAGGUUUCUUGAGUGACAGGCCUUCCCAGGUUUUCAUAGUAUCAAUCAUGGUGUAUAAUUGAUGAUGUAGAUGCAAUCUCUUGACUCACUGGACUGAGAACUUCUGGGGAGCAAGAAUUAUGCCUCCUCGAUCAUUUCCUGGGACAGACACCAAGGUAAUGUCCCUUUCCACAAACAACACUCAGCACAAGGUGGGGCGAUCGAGUUAUGUUUGAGCCUGUGACCUCCGAAGUCCCCUGUAUCAGAAGCUUAGGUAGCAGCCUGUGAUGCUGUGUGGAGGUGGAGGAACCUGUGGAGAGUGAGGAGGAAGGGGUUUCACUGGGAGUCUUAAAGGAGAUCUGGGACCUCAGAUGCUGUCCCUGAUGCUUUCUGGCUACCAGGAGGUGAGCAGCUUGCCCCAACAUUAGUUCCUACCAUGAUGUUCGGUCCCGUCACAAGCCCCAAAGUAAUGGCCAUUGCUGAAACCUUGAGCUGUGGGCUAAGUAAAGCAACCUUUCAUCUUUAUAAGUUGAUUGCUUGGGUAUUUUGUCACAGUGGCAGAAGACCAUGUAAUACAGCAGUUAAUCGCCCUACGGUACAUUGAUCUAACCCUGACUUAGGGGCGAGCUGCAGCAUUGGAAGGGAAUGUGGUACGUUGUACACUGGCCUCCUGGGAACAAACAAUAUCUACAUCAUAACCCCUUGAAUUUCUGAACAUGUAACCUUAUGUAGGAAAAGAAACCUGGCAGAGGUAAUCAAUUUAGAGAUUCCAUAAUAUAAGAUCUGGAUUAACUGGGUGGUUCCUAAAUCCAACAACAAAUGUCUCUGCAGAUACAGAUGAACAUAGAGAGAAGAAGAGGUCACAGCAGAGCAAUGGAUCUCAACCUCCCUAACGCUGCAACCCUUGAAUACAGUUCCUCAUGUCAUGGUGACCCCUGAGGAAAGGUCAUUCAUCCCCAAAGAGGUCUCAACCCACAGGUUGAGAACUACUGGAGUAGAAUGAUGCAGACACAAGCUGAGACUUACAGGAGCUUCCUGAUGCCAGACUCAGUACAUCGUCUAUGCAAGGCUAAAACACAUGAUCCUCUUGCCUCUUCCUAGGUACUGCAGGUGUGUAUUAUUAGGCCUAAUGAUUCCCCCUCUCCCUAUCUUCCUUUCUCCCACUCCACAACUGUGUGUACAUAUUCAUGCAUGCAAAUGCAUGCAUGUGGAGGUCAGAGGUCAGCAAUGCUGGGUGUCUUGCUCAGUCCUUUGCUCCCUUAUGUUUAUGAACCAGGACUCGCAGUGUCAGCUAGGCUGGCUGGCCCGUGCAUCACGGGGACCCUCCCAUCUCUACUUUUCCAGUCAGAAUGACAGGGAUGCAUGGGCAUAUCGAGCUGGUUGGAUUCUGGAGAGUGGAAUUCGGUCCCCAUCCUUGUGUGACCAUUACACAAAGCCAUCUCUCCAAACCCCACCGUUUACUUCUUCAACAUCCAUUUAUUGAAUGCCCACAUCGUACCAUGUUAUAAUUAUGCCUACAAUUAAGUAGUCCCUUUCUUAUACCCCAUUAUGUGAUACCAUAUAUUAAUGUAUUUUGAGUAACGGGGUGUGUUUGGGUGUUAAAAAUGUCUCUCAUAGGCUCCUGUAGUUGAACAUUUGGUUCCUAGCUGUUGGCUCUGUUUUGCAAGGUUGUGGACUCUUUAGGAGCUGGUCUCUCCUCAGAGGAAGUGGGUCAUUGAGCACAGGCCUUGGGGUUUAUAGUCUGGCCUGCCUGUUCUCUGCUUUCUGUUCUGUCAAGCUGUGAGGUGAAGACUCCCAGCUGCACAUUCCUGCCACACAGGGCCACCUGCCACCAUGCCUUUACCGUGGAUCAUAUCCUUCUAAAACUAUUGACCAAAUUAAACCCUUCUUCUCUUAAGUUGCUUCUUGUUAGGUAUUUGGUCACAGUAAGGAGAAAAGUGAUGAAUACAGAAGGAUGUCAGCACUCACCAUUCAUUUGUUCAUUCAUUCAUCCAUCCAUCCACCCACCCACCAACUGCCCCUUUAAUGGCCAUACUAUGCCGGGCUAUAAUCAGGCAUGGCUUUCUUAGGAUUAUACUCACUGUGUGUUUUCAUCCUAGUUUGCCUUUGGCCUCUAUGAUAAAGACUGUGACCAAAAGCAUCUCGAGGAGAAAAGGCUUCAUUUAGUUUAUAUGUCCUGAUCACAGUCCAUCAUCAAGAGAGGCCAAGGUAAGAACUCAAGCAAAACAGGAACCUGGAGGCAGGAACUGAGGCAGAGAACAUGGAGGAACGCUGCUAACUGGCUUCCUCUCCACAGCUUAGUCAGUCUGCUUUCUUUUAUUUUUUUUC
rnacentral:sRNA from 1 species